AAUGAACGUUGGCGGCGUGGAUUAGGCAUGCAAGUCGAGCGAGGAAACGUGUAGCAAUACGUGUUAUUCGAGCGGCGUAAGGGGCAGUAAUACCUGGGAACGUACCCUCUGGUCGGGGAUAGCUGCUGGAAACGGCGAGUAAUACCCGAUGAUCUUGAGAAAGCAAAGGCUUGCCGCCGGAGGAGCGGCCCAGGCGAUAUUAGCUAGUUGGUGAGGUAACGGCUUACCAAGGCUUAGAUGUCUAGCGGGUGUGAGAGCACGACCCGCGCCACUGGCACUGAGACACUGGCCAGACACCUACGGGUGGCUGCAGUCGAGAAUCUUCGGCAAUGAGCGCAAGCUUGACCGAGCGACGCCGCGUGCGGGAUGAAGGCCUUCGGGUUGUAAACCGCUUUGGUCCGAGAGAGAGGGCAACUUGAUCGAUCGGAGAAACAAGGACGGGCUAAGUUCGUGC
rnacentral:rRNA from 1 species